rnacentral:rRNA from 1 species
CCUCGCCGCGAAGGAUGCAU